rnacentral:rRNA from 1 species
GAUGAACGCUGGCGGCGUGCCUAAUACAUGCAAGUCGUGCGAACAGAUGAGGAGCUUGCUCCUCUGACGUUAGCGGCGGACGGGUGAGUAACACGUGGAUAACCUACCUAUAAGACUGGGAUAACUUCGGGAAACCGGAGCUAAUACCGGAUAAUAUAUUGAACCGCAUGGUUCAAUAGUGAAAGACGGUUUUGCUGUCACUUAUAGAUGGAUCCGCGCCGCAUUAGCUAGUUGGUAAGGUAACGGCUUACCAAGGCAACGAUGCGUAGCCGACCUGAGAGGGUGAUCGGCCACACUGGAACGGAGACACGGUCCAGACUCCUACGGGAGGCAGCAGUAGGGAAUCUUCCGCAAUGGGCGAAAGCCUGACGGAGCAACGCCGCGUGAGUGAUGAAGGUCUUCGGAUCGUAAAACUCUGUUAUUAGGGAAGAACAAAUGUGUAAGUAACUAUGCACGUCUUGACGGUACCUAAUCAGAAAGCCACGGCUAACUACGUG